AGCUGCAUUGCUGGGCAAGUUGUCCUUUGGCAGAUGUUGCAGUUCAUCAUCGAUGCCUGGGGGUUACCAGACUACUGCCAAAGGAAAUUUGCCCCGGAAUUCAUCU
rfam:Oryza sativa Japonica Group DNA, chromosome 5, cultivar: Nipponbare, complete sequence.